CUACGGGUUGCUGCAGUGGGGAAUCAUGGACAAUGGGCGCAAGCCUGAUCCAGCCAUGCCGCGUGAGUGAAGAAGGCCUUAGGGUCGUAAAGCUCUUCCGCCAGAGAUGAUAAUGACAGUAUCUGGUAAAGAAACCCCGGCUAACUCCGUGCCAGCAGCCGCGGUAAUACGGAGGGGGGUAGCGUUGUUCGGAAUUACUGGGCGUAAAGCGCGCGUAGGCGGAUUAGUCAGUCAGAGGUGAAAUCCCAGGGCUCAACCCUGGAACUGCCUUUGAUACUGCUAGUCUUGAGUUCGAGAGAGGUGAGUGGAAUUCCGAGUGUAGAGGUGAAAUUCGUAGAUAUUCGGAGGAACACCAGUGGCGAAGGCGGCUCACUGGCUCGAUACUGACGCUGAGGUGCGAAAGUGUGGGGAGCAAACAGGAUUAGAUACCCCAGUAGUC
rnacentral:rRNA from 1 species